UUUUUUCUUUAAUUUUUUUUUUCUUUUUCUUAGAAUAUUAAAUAUCUAAUGUUGCCUAUUCAAUGGAAAUACCUUCUUCUUCUUCCCAAUUUAUUUUUACAAUAAGAGAAAACAUUUCUUUUAAAUGCAUUCUUUCCAUUUUUUAUGUUUCUCUCUAGCUAAUAACUCAAGUAUAUAGAGAUUAGAGAGCAUGACUAUUUAACAAGAAAUUAAAGCUAUAGGCUUUCCAUAACUAGUUUAGCAAAGAUUAACGGUUUACAAACUAAGCAUUAUAUUUACCUUGUCUUUGGAUGGGAGAAUUUGAAAUAUUAAAGUUGAAUUUGAUAAGAG
rnacentral:misc_RNA from 1 species